UACGGGGGGGGCAAGCGUUGUUCGGAAUUACUGGGCGUAAAGGGCGCGUAGGCGGUUCGCUAAGUUGGAUGUGAAAACUCUGGGCUCAACCCAGAGCCUGCAUCCAAAACUGGCGGGCUAGAGUUCUGGAGGGGGUAGCGGAAUUCCUGGUGUAGCGGUGAAAUGCGUAGAUAUCAGGAGGAACACCCGGUGGCGAAGGCGGCUCCUGGACAGAAACUGACGUGAGGCGCGAAAGCGUGGGGAGCAAACAGGAU
rnacentral:rRNA from 1 species